GGGUUGUGAGGUUAAGCGACUAAGCGUACACGGUGGAUGCCCUGGCAGUCAGAGGCGAUGAAGGGCGUGCUAAUCUGCGAUAAGCGCCGGUAAGGUGAUAUGAACCGUUAUAACCGGCGAUACCCGAAUGGGGAAACCCAGUGUGAUUCGUCACACUAUCAUUAACUGAAUCCAUAGGUUAAUGAGGCGAACCGGGGGAACUGAAACAUCUAAGUACCCCGAGGAAAAGAAAUCAACCGAGAUUCCCCCAGUAGCGGCGAGCGAACGGGGAGGAGCCCAGAGCCUGAAUCAGCAUGUGUGUUAGUGGAAGCGUCUGGAAAGGCGCGCGAUACAGGGUGACAGCCCCGUACACAAAAGCGCAUGUGCUGUGAGCUCGAUGAGUAGGGCGGGACACGUGGUAUCCUGUCUGAAUAUGGGGGGACCAUCCUCCAAGGCUAAAUACUCCUGACUGACCGAUAGUGAACCAGUACCGUGAGGGAAAGGCGAAAAGAACCCCGGCGAGGGGAGUGAAAAAGAACCUGAAACCGUGUACGUACAAGCAGUGGGAGCNNGGGCGUUAAGUUGCAGGGUAUAGACCCGAAACCCGGUGAUCUAGCCAUGGGCAGGUUGAAGGUUGGGUAACACUAACUGGAGGACCGAACCGACUAAUGUUGAAAAAUUAGCGGAUGACCUGUGGCUGGGGGUGAAAGGCCAAUCAAACCGGGAGAUAGCUGGUUCUCCCCGAAAGCUAUUUAGGUAGCGCCUCGUGAAUUCAUCUCCGGGGGUAGAGCACUGUUUCGGCUAGGGGGCCAUCCCGGCUUACCAACCCGAUGCAAACUGCGAAUACCGGAGAAUGUUAUCACGGGAGACACACGGCGGGUGCUAACGUCCGUCGUGAAGAGGGAAACAACCCAGACCGCCAGCUAAGGUCCCAAAGUCAUGGUUAAGUGGGAAACGAUGUGGGAAGGCCCAGACAGCCAGGAUGUUGGCUUAGAAGCAGCCAUCAUUUAAAGAAAGCGUAAUAGCUCACUGGUCGAGUCGGCCUGCGCGGAAGAUGUAACGGGGCUAAACCAUGCACCGAAGCUGCGGCAGCGANNUGCUGGAGGUAUCAGAAGUGCGAAUGCUGACAUAAGUAACGAUAAAGCGGGUGAAAAGCCCGCUCGCCGGAAGACCAAGGGUUCCUGUCCAACGUUAAUCGGGGCAGGGUGAGUCGACCCCUAAGGCGAGGCCGAAAGGCGUAGUCGAUGGGAAACGGGUUAAUAUUCCCGUACUUGGUGUUACUGCGAAGGGGGGACGGAGAAGGCUAUGUUGGCCGGGCGACGGUUGUCCCGGUUUAAGCGUGUAGGUGUGUGUUCCAGGUAAAUCCGGUUCACUUUAACACUGAGGCGUGACGACGAGGCACUACGGUGCUGAAGCAACAAAUGCCCUGCUUCCAGGAAAAGCCUCUAAGCAUCAGGUAACAUCAAAUCGUACCCCAAACCGACACAGGUGGUCAGGUAGAGAAUACCAAGGCGCUUGAGAGAACUCGGGUGAAGGAACUAGGCAAAAUGGUGCCGUAACUUCGGGAGAAGGCACGCUGACACGUAGGUGAAGUGAUUUACUCACGGAGCUGAAGUCAGUCGAAGAUACCAACUGGCUGCAACUGUUUAUUAA
rnacentral:rRNA from 1 species